UAAUUAAGUCAUAAGGGUGGAGCCCUCAUAAAUGGGAUUAGUGCCCUUAUAAGCAGCAGCAAUAGAAUUAGCUAGCUGUCUUUCUUCCCUGUGAGGACACAGUGAGAAGGUAGCCAUCUACAACCAGGAAGAGGGCCCUCCCUAGAACCUGACCAAUGCUGGCACCCUGAUCUCAGACUUCCAACAUCUAAAGUCUAAAAUCCCUGGUGAAAGUUUCAAUUAUCUUGAGGUGUACAUCUGAAUCAACUAUAAGACCGCCAUUUUUUUCUACAGAAGGAAAUUUGCAACUGCUCAAGAACUACUAGACUGGAUGGAUCCAACUUUCACCCAUCCACCUUUGAAUCUUCAAAAAAAAAAAAAGAAAUUGGGGCAAAAAAGAAUGUGUUUUGAAGCACCGCUUCCCGCCUUUUUUUUAAAACUCACUCCCUGAAGUAGGAGAAAUAUUAGGAAAUUUACUCUUCCACUCAACAGCUCUCACACAAGCCUUCAAGAAGCUACACUUAGGAGAGAAGCAUGAGCCUAGCAGAGGAGAACUCUCCAGAGGGGCCAUCACAUAUGACAGUCAACUUAUACAUUCACACUUCAGACAUCUUAUUCAAACCAAUUGCAGAAGGCUGGUUUGUUCUUUAGAAAACACUGCACUAACUUUAAUUUAGACAUUUCUAUUUUAGUGCAGCUAGACUACACAGGAGUAUGUUCCUCUACCAUUUAGUAAUUUAGAUACUUUCAAUAUUAUUGCUAACUGACUCUUGAAGUACAAGAGCCUUAAUUAUGUUGGUUUAAUAGUUUGUGCUUAAAUAUUGUUAUUUGUAAACUAACAGUAGGAAAUGCUACAACUUCCCCAUGUUUCUUUUUUACUUCAAUGUUACAAUAAAAUAUGCCAUUGUUGAUUGAA